GGGGAGCCCCGGGACACUCGGGGGUAAGUGACGAAAAAUGCUGCCCGUCCAUAGAUAGGACUGGAGCAAAUCUGCUCGUCCCUAGGCAGAUAGGGCAAGAGGAAAAAUGACAAUUUCGAGAAAAUGGAGAAGAUUGAUACAGUAUGUUUGUGUCUUGUUUUGUCUCAGUGUAUUGUAUUGUCUUUGUGAUGAAAAUAUGGAAGGGGUGAGAAGUAAAUUACUAAGGGAAGGAGGCACCCCAGUGGAACCAAGAAUAGUUAGG
rnacentral:lncRNA from 1 species